rnacentral:rRNA from 1 species
UGGGUAACCUGCCUCAAAGAGGGGAAUAGCCUCCCGAAAGGGAGAUUAAUACCGCAUAAUAUGUUUAGGUCGCAUGACUUUAACAUCAAAGGAUUUUCUUUUAGGAAUUCCACUUUGAGAUGGACCCCGCGGCGCAUUAGCUAGUUGGUGAGGUAACGGCUCACCAAGGCAACGAUGCGUAGCCGACCUGAGAGGGCGACCGACCACACGUGGGGCUGAGACACGGCCCAGACCUCCUACGGGGAGCA